rnacentral:rRNA from 1 species
GAUGAACGCUGGCGGCGUGCUUAACACAUGCAAGUCGAACGGUGAAGCGCCGCUUGCUGGGUGGGUUGGUGGCGAACGGGUAAGUAACACGUGAGAAACGUGCCAUUUACUCUGGGCUACGGCUUGACCACUGGAUCUAAUGCCGGAUAGGAGCGCCUACGGGUUUGUGGGCGUUGGGAUGUGUGAUCGGUAUUGGUUGGGCUGGCGGCCUAUCAGCGUGUUGGUGGGGUGAUGGCUCAGCAAGGCGACGCCGGGUAGCCGGCCUGAGAGGGUGAUCGGCCACGCUGGGACUGAGACACGGCCCAGACUCCGACGGGAGUGAGCAGUGGGGAAUAGUGCACAAUGGCCGAGAGGCUGAUGCAGCGACGCCGCGUGAGGGAUGACGGCCUUCGGGUUGUAAACCUCUUUCAGUAGGUAAGAAGCGAAAGUGACGGUACCUGCAGAAGAAGCACCGGCUAACUACGUG